GCGCGAGCUACCGUGCGCUGGAUUAUGACUGAACGCCUCUAAGUCAGAAUCCGGGCCAGAAGCGACGCGUUGUCCGCCGCUCGUUUGCCGACCAGCAGUAGGGGCCCUCCGGCCCCCAAAGGCACGUGUCGUUGGCUAAGCCCUCGCGGCGGACGAGCCGCGCGGGCCGCCUUGAAUUACAAUUUCCACCGGGCGGCGGACUGAAUCCUUUGCAGACGACUUAAAUACGCGACGGGGUAUUGUAAGUGGCAGAGUGGCCUUGCUGCCACGAUCCACUGAGAUUCAGCCCUUCGUCGCUCCGAUUCGU
rnacentral:ncRNA from 1 species